rnacentral:rRNA from 1 species
UACGAAGGGGGCUAGCGUUGCUCGGAAUGACUGGGCGUAAAGGGCGCGUAGGCGGUUCAUACAGUCAGAUGUGAAAUUCCUGGGCUCAACCUGGGGGCUGCAUUUGAUACGUGUGGACUAGAGUGGGGAAGAGGGUCGUGGAAUUCCCAGUGUAGAGGUGAAAUUCGUAGAUAUUGGGAAGAACACCGGUGGCGAAGGCGGCGACCUGGUCCUUGACUGACGCUGAGGCGCGAAAGCGUGGGGAGCAAACAGG